rnacentral:rRNA from 1 species
GUCUUUUUGAUUUAAAUAUAAAGUAUAACCUGCCCAUUGAAAAUUUUAAAAGGCUGCGGUAUAUUAACCGUACAAAGGUAGCAUAAUCAUUAGUUUUUUAAUUGAGAACUUGUAUGAAUGGUUGAAUGAGAAAUAAACUUUUUUAAUAGAAAAAUUGAAUUUUACAUUUUAAUUAAAAGGUUAAAAUGAUUUUAAAAGACGAGAAGACCCUAUAGAUUUUUAUAAUUUGUAUUUAAUAUUUUAAAAAAUUUAAUAAAUAUUUUUAUUUUUAUAAAUUAUUUUGUUGGGGUGAUAAUAAAAUUUAAUUAACUUUUAUUUUUUUUAUACAUUAAUAUAUGGAAAAUUGAUCCAUUACUAAUGAUUAAAAAAUUAAAUUACCUUAGGGAUAACAGCGUAAUUUUUUUUUUAAGUUCAUAUUAAUAAAAAAUUUUGCGACCUCGAUGUUGGAUUAAGAUUUAAUUUUAGGUGCAGAAGUUUAAAAUUUAAGUCUGUUCGACUUUUAAAUUCUU